GACGUAGGGUCCGAGCGUUGUCCGGAGUUACUGGGCGUAAAGGGCGCGUAGGCGGCUCUGUGCGUCACCCGUGAAAGCCCCCGGCUCAACCGGGGAGGGUCAGGUGAAACGGCGGAGCUGGAGGCAGCGAGAGGCUGGUGGAAUUCCCGGAGUAGUGGUGAAAUGCGUAGAGAUCGGGAGGAACACCGGUGGCGAAGGCGGCCAGCUGGCGCUGACCUGACGCUGAGGCGCGAAGGCGUGGGGAGCGAACGGG
rnacentral:rRNA from 1 species